rnacentral:rRNA from 1 species
UACAGAGGGUGCGAGCGUUAAUCGGAAUUACUGGGCGUAAAGCGCGCGUAGGCGGCUUUGCAAGUCGGGUGUGAAAUCCCCAGGCUUAACCUGGGAACUGCAUUCGAGACUGCAUUGCUAGAGUAUGGGAGAGGGAAGUGGAAUUUCCGGUGUAGCGGUGAAAUGCGUAGAUAUCGGAAGGAACACCUGUGGCGAAAGCGGCGCACUGGACCACAACUGACGCUGAGGCGCGAAAGCUAGGGGGAGCAAACAGG